AACGAACGCUGGCGGCGCGUUUAAGACAUGCAAGUCGCACGGGAUAAGACAUGUAGUAAUACUUGUUUUAUUUAGUGGCGCACGGGUGAGUAACACGUGAAUUACAUGCCCUAUAGUGGGGAAUAGCCCAGGGAAACUUGGAGUAAUACUCCAUGGUAUCGAAAGAUUAAAGGGGGCCGCAAUGCUGACGCUAUAGGAUUGGUUCGCUACCUAUCAGCUUGUUGGUGAGGUAACGGCGCACCAAGGCAAUGACGGGUACCUGGUCUGAGAGGACGAUCAGGCACCAUGGAACUGAGACACGGUCCAGACACCUACGGGUGGAAGCAGUCGAGAAUAAUUCACAAUGGGGGCAACCCUGAUGGUGCAACGCCGCGUGGAGGAUGACGGUCUUCGGAUUGUAAACUCCUGUUAUCUGGGAGAAAGACCUGACGGUAAAUAGCCGGCAGGGUUGAUAGUACCAGAAGAGGAAGGGACGGCUAACUUCGUGCCAGCAGCCGCCGUAA
rnacentral:rRNA from 1 species